CUGCUGUUUGACCGCUUUACACUGAAUCACUCUCCCCAUUCCUCUCUUAUAUCUUAUUCUGAUUGGCAGGUUAAAAAAAAACCUCUGGGUUCAGACCACACUGUUUUAUCAGUUUGCAGUUUGUGGUUGUAGCUACAGUAUUUAUACCACUGUGCCAACCAUUUUGAGCUUGUUGGAACUAUGGGAAGUCUUUCAAGUUGCAACCGAAGAUAAUGACCAUCAGAGAGAAACAGCAGACACAAAGACAGAAGAUGUCCUCUAUGCCUCCAUUGACCACAGUGACAUCAGUCCAAACAAACCUGUUCGAGACGUGGAUGACAACGAUUGUGAUUAUGCUGUUGUAAUGCUUCCUCAAAACAUAGACUCGGCCAAGCUAAAAAGCAACGAGGAUUGUUCAGAUGAUUAUGUACUCAUGGGCUGAGCACUGAGAUGCUCCUGUGGCUGAAAUUUGCACAUUCAGCUGGAAUGGACACCUAAGAUACAUAAGCACAACUUUAACAGCUUGUUAACUUUGUAUAGGUUGCAAUGAAAUUCAGCUUUUUAAAAUUUGUAUUUAUUUGUUUUAUUUUUCUUUUCUUCUCUUUUUGAAUAAUUAUUUCAUUUCUGGUCUGUUUUUGUUACUUUAUGUUUACAGCAUUAAGUUAAAUAUGUUAAAGACUUGAUAUUUUG
ensembl:lncRNA